GCUUGUUCUGAUUAAAUACGGCUGCCUAGCAUCAGUUGGCUGGCCGACCAGCAGAGUUACCGGCUCUGCUGAGGAUUUCACUCGUCCUGCAGCCCUAAAGACCACGCUGUUUGUCUCAUUCCUUUGAGCCUUCAAGGUGACACCACCCAAAAGGUUUGUAUCUUGGACGGGCUACAGGCAGGCUCACUGCUGCUUCUUCUCUGCUUCCUGACUCACACGCCAUCGCCUGCUUCUCUGCCUUGGAGCUGGUGGACAAUGGACUGAAACCUCUACAAAACCUCAGCACACGUAGAGAUGGUGACUGAUUUCAACAGCCAGCAAGGGUGACUGGGAUUGUCACCCCAAAGCAGAGGCACCACAGGAUCAUGUCAGCUGGGUGCUAUGAGCCAAGGUUACUGUAGAAGGACCUCUGCCCUGAAGAAGGAGGCACCUGGAAGGUUCCUUUGGAUGGGAAGAAUGGUUCUGUGUUGCCACAAUCGCCACCAUGAGAAGGCCUCACAGCAAGGCAUUCAGACCAAAUCUACAGACAUAGCGAGCAGUAAGGUGCCCUGGGUGGGUGUGGGUAGAUCAAAGGAGAAAUACACAGCUUCUGCAGUCAAGAACUCAGCCUGCUACAGCAGUCAGCAAACUUGUGGCUUGUGGGCCCCUCUGGCUUACCACCUAUGGGUGUAAGUAACACUCCAUAGGAAUGCAGGUUGACCUAUUUGUUUAUGUUGUUUUUACCUGCUUGGUAUCAAUCAUAAAGCAAUUUGAGUAGUUUUGAACUGGUAGCCCACAGAGCCUAUUUAUUGUUAUCUACAGAGUAUUUACUGACUCUGUAGAAAAAGUUGGUCACCAUUGGUCUUCUGCAGAGACCCAGCCAUGCCUAGUUAACUCAUUCCCAUCUGAAACACUUUGAACAGGAUCAGAUAUCAAUACUGGUGAGUGGUCAGUCGGCUGGAUGCUGCCCAGGACAUUGCUAUGAUGGGCAGACCAGUCAUCAGUUAUGUCAGCCCAGAAACGGGACUUGUAAGUUCACCUGGACAUAACAGAAGUGUUCGUGAUGGAUUGACAGGUGCCCAAAAUCACAAUGUAUGAACCAGAAAAGGGCAGGUGCUGUGGGGUAGCCCUUCAGGGAAUGGAAUGAGUCCUACAGGGCCACUGUUUCUGUACAGGACCACACGUAUCCCUGUGUCUGGUUCUCUCUAGGUCGGCUGAGGAGUAUAACAGACAUGGACCUUUGGGAGAGUUAGUUCUGCUCCCAGUGAGACCAGAGGACAAACUUGCCCUGCUCUUUUCUGGAUGACACUGCUCCAGUGCCUGGAGCUGAAGGUCCCCAUCAGGGUUAAUGUUUGCUUGAAUUCUGCAAGUGCAGCACUGAUGGGAUGAUUUUUCCCAAGCUUUGAGUUUGUUAGAGAAUAUUAAUUCUGCUCCUAGGUCUUUCUCAUUUGUUUCUCCACAUUGACUUCUUUUCUUAGGUUUAUUAAUGUAUCAGAGUUUUUUUGAUGUAUUAAUUUGUAUGAAUUUGCAGGAAGUGAUCUUUUUGGCUUGUUGGAAAACUUCAUUUGACUUAUGUGGUUUUUUUUUUUUCUAUUAUUUGACUCUGAAACACUUGGUGCUUGUGUUUUAAGUGUAUUAGUUAUAAGAAAAAUAUGGUUGAAUUAAAUAAUAGCCAUCUUUGAACUGGUGAGUUUAACUCUUUUAUUUAUUGUGAUCACUGAUAUGCUAUAUUUGGAUUUACUGUUGUUUUUUCAUAUUUUCUACUUGUCCUGUUGAGUCCUUUUCUUAUUCAUUUUUCUCUACUAUUUUAGACCUUGUAGAUUCUAAGUUUUUUGGUUGAAGUUAUCUCCUUUCUCCUAAGAGUCAGUGACUUUUAGCUUAACAGGCUAUUACUGUAUAAUAUUUUAUUCCUAUAAAAUGUUCUCUGAAGUAUAUCACAUACAGAAGGAUACAUGUGUGCAUGUCUGUGCAUGCAUGUGCACACACACACAUGCACAUUCAUGUGCUCACACCCACUCUCAUGUCUACUAGUUUGAGAAACAGAAUAUGGCCUCAUAAUUCACAAUUUCCUAAAUUAAAUGUUACUAUUAGCGUUGAUAUUUGUUCAGCUUUAUCCACAUGGUUGCCGUCUUCUUUGAUUACAUUACUGUCUUUCUUACAUCUUGGGGCCCUUUGCCUUAUUUCUGAAGUAUAUGUCCUUCAUAAGGAUCUACUGAUGCUAAAUUGUAUUUUUUAUCCGAAAACAUUCUGUAUUUCACACUUAGUUCUUCAAAGGUAUAUUUUGUUGACUAUGCAAUUAGCAAUUACUUUCUUUCACUGUUUUGAAGACAUUUUUUAUUCUUUUGGCUUCUAAUAUUGAAGAUAAAAAGUCAGAUAUUGAGCAGGGAGGGGCUGGGGGUUUAGCUCAGCGGCAUAAGCCCUGCCUUGCAAGCAGGCGGUCGUGAGUUCAAUCCCUGGUACCGAUAAAAAUGAAGAAGACAAAAAAAAAAAAAAAAGAUAUUGAGCAGGGUAAAUUAUUUUCUUUUUUAUUUUUAACUACCUGGUUUGGAAUGUUUCUUGAGGUUUUGUAGUUUCAUGAGGAUAAGUCUGGAGGCAAAUAUAUUUUGGAAUAUUUUAGGAUCCAUAAUAUUUUUUAAAUAUUGUUUCUAUCCAAUCUCUUUAGUCACUUUCUCUGAUCCAUUUUGGAUGAAUCUUUAAAGUGCUCAAACUUCCAUAUCAAUAAACCUCCCUUUCAUGGUUUUUCUCUUUACCUCUCUAAGUGUAUUCCAAGUAGUUUUGUUAUACCCCUGUGCUAAUUUAUUCCAUUUUUCAGUUCUCUAGUGAGAGCAUGUCGUUAACACAUGCCAGUCCCUUCACCGUCUACCAUCUACCAUCACUCACUAGCACAACAAAGCUGAGUUUUUUUUGACAGAGCCUGUGUGGCUUGCAAAGCCUGAA